CUAGAGUUUGAUCCUGGCUCAGGAUGAACGCUGGCGGCGUGCUUAACACAUGCAAGUCGAACGGUGAAGCAGAGCUUGCUCUGUGGAUCAGUGGCGAACGGGUGAGUAACACGUGAGCAACCUGCCCCGGACUCUGGGAUAACAGUUGGAAACAGCUGCUAAUACCGGAUACGAGCCGUGAUCGCAUGGUCAACGGUUGGAAAGAAUUUCGGUCUGGGAUGGGCUCGCGGCCUAUCAGCUUGUUGGUGAGGUAACGGCUCACCAAGGCGUCGACGGGUAGCCGGCCUGAGAGGGUGACCGGCCACACUGGGACUGAGACACGGCCCAGACUCCUACGGGAGGCAGCAGUGGGGAAUAUUGCACAAUGGGCGAAAGCCUGAUGCAGCAACGCCGCGUGAGGGACGAGCGGCCUUCGGGUUGUAAACCUCUUUUAGCAGGGAAGAAGCGAAAGUGACGGUACCUGCAGAAAAAGCGCCGGCUAACUACGUGCCAGCAGCCGCGGUAAUACGUAGGGCGCAAGCGUUAUCCGGAAUUAUUGGGCGUAAAGAGCUCGUAGGCGGUCUGUCGCGUCUGCUGUGAAAACCCGAGGCUCAACCUCGGGCCUGCAGUGGGUACGGGCAGACUAGAGUGCGGUAGGGGAGAUUGGAAUUCCUGGUGUAGCGGUGGAAUGCGCAGAUAUCAGGAGGAACACCGAUGGCGAAGGCAGAUCUCUGGGCCGUAACUGACGCUGAGGAGCGAAAGGGUGGGGAGCAAACAGGCUUAGAUACCCUGGUAGUCCACCCCGUAAACGUUGGGAACUAGUUGUGGGGACCAUUCCACGGUUUCCGUGACGCAGCUAACGCAUAAGUCCC
rnacentral:rRNA from 1 species